rnacentral:rRNA from 1 species
CACCGCGGUUAUACGAGAGACUCAAAAUGAUAAACACCGGCGUAAAGAGUGGUUAGGAAAUUAUUUACUAAAGCCAAACAUUUUCUUAGCUGUUAUACGCAAUCGAAAAUAUGAAGUUUAAUAACGAAAGUAGCUUUAAAAAACUGAAUCCACAAAAGCUAUAAAA